rnacentral:ribozyme from 2 species
GAAUUAACUCCGCCUGUAGCUCUUCUAGAGUUACUGCCGGUCCCAAGGUCGGGUAAAGGAGGAGGGUUUG